AUUAGAUUGAUAUAUUGUCGUUCUUUACUUCUUCUUUGAUGCAGCAACUCAGCCAGACUUGUCGUCUUGUUCUUCCCCAUCUAAACUUCUCCAAAAUCUCAAAUUCUCACAAUCACAACUCAAACCUAACAGAUUUGAGAAUUGGCAAGAAGGAAUUUUGAGUCUAACACAGCAAUUUCGUUGGGUUAUAAUAUCACGGCUCCAAUUAGAAAUAUCCUUCUGGUGCUCAAAAAAGAAAAGAGAAGCAAAAGAGAGAUGCAUUGGUUAAGCUUCAAGCCGGAUCUCUUAGUAAUUACUUCAACGCAAAUAAUAAACAAGCACAGACUUUAGCUGAUGCAAAUAUACGUGAGAAUGAGAAAAAAAUUGUGAAUAUAUUUGAAGAUGGGGAGCCCCAUUUUUGUUUUUCGCCUAGAGCCCCUAAAAACUCAGGCCCGGCCCUGAGUCUAGGAAUAUUCAAUUAGGAUUUUUU